AAGCUCUGCUUUAAAUAGGAGGUCUACCCUGAUUCUAAUUCCUUGGGCACUCUCUCACAUAAUGUUGGGCACUACCACAUAUGUGACAAGUGUUGUUGAGGCGGUAGCAGGGUCAAUCCCCGUGAUCCCUGCCAUAAUGCUGACAGAUCCUACCACGUCCUACCACUGGAGACUGAGGGGGAGCCUGGAUCACCGACCUGGGCCUCUUGUUCUGUUGGACAAACACAGUAGAUGCUGGUAUAC
rnacentral:lncRNA from 1 species